rnacentral:misc_RNA from 1 species
GAACGCACCUUGCGCUCCUUGGUAUUCCGAGGAGCAUGCCUGUUUGAGUGUCAUGAAACUCUCACCCUUCAACUUUCUUAAUAGUGGUUGAAGGCGUGGACUUGAGCGCUGCUGGUUUUUAUUAACCGGCUCGCUUGAAAUGAAUUAGCAGAUCCUUUUUGUAAUCGGUUCCACUCGACGUGAUAAGUAUUUCGCCGAGGACAUCUUAACGGAUGGCCGAGAUAAAGAAAGUCUUUAGAUCCGCUUCUAAUUCUUAGCCUUACGCAAGUAAGCUAAACCCAUUUUAUGAUCUGGCCUCAAAUCAGGUAGGACUACCCGCUGAACUUAAG